rnacentral:rRNA from 1 species
AUGAAGCUGGAAUCGCUAGUAAUCGCAGGUCAGCAUACUGCGGUGAAUACGUUCCCGGGUCUUGUACACACCGCCCGUCACACCAUGGGAGCCGGAAAUGCCCGAAGCCAGUGACCCAACCUUAGGGAGGGAGCUGUCGAAGGUGGAGCCGGUAACUGGGGUGAAGUCGUAACAAGGUAUC